CAGGCAACUCACCCUGGACAGUCAGCUUGCGGAAUCGGUGAGGCACAACUGCCUGUCUCCCACACAGAGGAGCUGAGGUUGUGUCCUCUGUGGUUAUCCCACUGGGGGUUGGUAAUCUAUCCCUGCCCCCAGAGGUCCUAGCCAGAAGAUGGCAGGUCUAGCAUCUGUCCCAGGAGUCUGUUUCCUGUCCUAAUUCCCCACUCCUCUAGGCAGGGCCAGCAUUUCUGCGGGGGGUCUCUAGUGAAGGAGCAGUGGAUACUGACUGCCCGGCAGUGCUUCUCCUCCUGGUGAGCCUCCCUUGUGUUUGGGGACCCAGUCUCAUCCCACCUUCCCCCUUCCCCAGGCAAACUAACAAGUGAGCCUUGGGGCAACGGACUGAGUCACAAAUGACCUAGCAGAGCUUCUCUCCCAGCCAUAUGCCUCUCACAGGCUAUGAGGUAUGGUUGGGCACCCUGUUCCAGAAUCCACAGCACGGAGAACCAGGCCUACAGCGGGUCCCAGUAGCCAAGAUGGUGUGUGGGCCCUCAGGCUCCCAGCUUGUCCUGCUCAAGCUGGAGAGGUAUGUGGACAACCUGGGAGGGUAUGAGGUGGGGCUGGGCCUUGUGGCCUCAGACCCUGAGUGCCCCCAUUCUUGCUGAAGAUCUGUGACCCUGAACCAGCGGGUGGCCCUGAUCUGCCUGCCCCCUGAAUGGUAUGUGGUGCCUCCAGGGACCAAGUGUGAGAUUGCAGGCUGGGGUGAGACCAAAGGUACGGGUAAUGACACAGUCCUAAAUGUGGCCUUGCUGAACGUCAUCUCCAACCAGGAGUGCAACAUCAAGCACCGAGGACGUGUGCGGGAGAGCGAGAUGUGCACGGAGGGACUGUUGGCCCCUGUGG
rnacentral:sRNA from 1 species